UUAAUGAGUCAUGAUGAGUGAUGGUGUAUGAAUCCCAUGUCAUGUCUGGAAUUCUGACGUUGGA